AUUGAACGCUGGCGGCAUGCCUUACACAUGCAAGUCGAACGGUAACGGGCCUUCGGGUGCCGACGAGUGGCGAACGGGUGAGUAAUACAUCGGAACGUGCCCGAUCGUGGGGGAUAACGAGGCGAAAGCUUUGCUAAUACCGCAUACGAUCUACGGAUGAAAUCAGGGGACCGCAAGGCCUUGCGCGGACGGAGCGGCCGAUGGCAGAUUAGGUAGUUGGUGGGAUAAAAGCUUACCAAGCCGACGAUCUGUAGCUGGUCUGAGAGGAUGAUCAGCCACACUGGGACUGAGACACGGCCCAGACUCCUACGGGAGGCAGCAGUGGGGAAUUUUGGACAAUGGGCGCAAGCCUGAUCCAGCCAUGCCGCGUGAAGGAUGAAGGCCUUCGGGUUGUAAACUGCUUUUGUACGGAACGAAAAGCCUUCUUUUAAUACAGGAGGGUCAUGACGGUACCGUAAGAAUAAGCACCGGCUAACUACGUG
rnacentral:rRNA from 1 species